rnacentral:rRNA from 1 species
AUGGCCGGCGACGUCGCGCGCAAGCAGCUCCAGGCGCGCGUGGGGGCGUUGCCGUGGGCGGUGCGGCUCCAGCUGCGCGCGCUCGAGGCCGCCGUCGACGCCACGCAGCGCCGGGACGGCACCGUCAACCGCUUCCUCUUCUCGCUGCUCGUGGACCGCCAGGCGCCCGCCAACCCCGCGCGCCCGGACGCCGGGGGCGUCCGCUCCGUGGACGUCACCGUCGACGCGUCCACCGGCGUGCGGGCCCGCGUCUACUUCGCGACAGGCGAGGCGGGGGCGGAGGCGGACGCGUCGCCGCGGCCGGUGAUCGUGUACUUCCACGGCGGCGGCUUCACGGUGUUCUCCGCGGCCACCCGCCCCUACGACGCGCUCUGCCGCACCAUGUGCCGCGAGGCGGGCGCCGUCGUCGUGUCCGUGACCUACCGCCUGGCGCCCGAGCACCGCUACCCCGCGGCCUACGACGACGGGGAGGCCGCCCUCCGGUACCUCGCCGCCACCGGCCUGCCCGCCGAGGUCCCCGUCCGCGUCGACCUCUCCCGCUGCUUCCUCGCCGGCGACAGCGCCGGCGCCAACAUCGCGCACCACGUGGCCCAGCGCUGGAUUGCGGCACCAGCGACAACGCCUCCAGCCGUCCACCUCGCCGGCCUCCUGCUCCUGUCCGCCUACUUCGGCGGAGAGGACCGGACCGAGUCGGAGCAGGCACUGGAGGGCGUGGCCCCGAUCGUCAACCUCCGCCGGUCCGACUUCUGGUGGAAGGCGUUCUUGCCGGAGGGCGCCGACCGGAACCACCCGGCCGCGCACGUGACGGGCGAGGCCGGCACGGAGCCGGAGCUGCCCGAGGCGUUCCCGCGGGCGAUGGUGGUCGUCGGCGGGCUCGACCCGCUCCAGGACUGGGGGAGGCGGUACGCCGCCAUGCUGCGCCGGAAGGGCAAGGAGGUGCGCGUGGUGGAGUUCACGGAGGCUGUGCACGCCUUCUACUUCUUCCCGGCGCUGCCCGAGACCGGCAAGCUCGUCGCGGAGAUCAGGGCGUUCGUGGAGAGCGUGGCGCCGAAUCAGACCACGUAG